rnacentral:lncRNA from 1 species
CAAUAGUUUAGGACAGAUUGGAACAUACCAGAAUUAUUGAUCUAAAAAAAAUGUGCGCACUUGUCGACGAUUCGUGUAUACAUACGCCUGGUAGAAAGUUACGGAACUAUAGUCAGUAGCGCAAUUUAAAAUAUGUAUACAUGUAUACAUUGAACAUAAGAAAGAAACAUACAUUUUGUGUAAAUUGUGGUAAAAGUUUUGUAAAUAGACUAGUCCACGUAUGCCAACAGUAUGUAAUCAACGAAUUCGAUAGACUAUUGUAUACCAAAAGAAGAAGAAGAAAAAAAAAGAAACAAUUUGAUUUAAAUACAGGUCAAUUUAUAACUUGCUUUGGUUCAUCGAAGUUAAGAACAUAGUAAACUCACAGAUUUAUAUAUCAAUUAAAUUGUUCUCGAAUAAAGGACGAAAUUCGUCAUCAUCACAAUUGUUCCAACAUUCAUGUAAAAUAUAUGCAACUGGACGUACACUAAUAAUCCCCAAGGAAUGUGAAUAUUUUCUAGGAAAAACUAUUGAGUAUCAAUUUCGGGAUUUAUUUUCUUUCUUGAUAUUCAAUGACAGC